rnacentral:rRNA from 1 species
UACGAAGGGGGCUAGCGUUGUUCGGAAUCACUGGGCGUAAAGCGCACGUAGGCGGCUUUUUAAGUCAGGGGUGAAAUCCCGAGGCUCAACCUCGGAACUGCCUUUGAUACUGGGGAUCUGGAGUCCGGGAGAGGUGAGCGGAACUGCGAGUGUAGAGGUGAAAUUCGUAGAUAUUCGCAAGAACACCAGUGGCGAAGGCGGCUCACUGGCCCGGAACUGACGCUGAGGUGCGAAAGCGUGGGGAGCAAACAGG